GACGAACGCUGGCGGCGUGCUUAACACAUGCAAGUCGAACGGUGUGGCGAACGGGUGAGUAACACGCGGGUGAUCUGCCCUGCACUUCGGGAUAAGCUUGGGAAACUGGGCCUAAUAUCGGACAGUGCAAGAUGAGCUCGCGGCCUAUCAGCUUGUUGGUGGGGUAAUGGACUACCAAGGCGUCGACGGGUAGCCGGCCUGCGAGGGUGUACGGCCACAGUGGGACAGAGAUACGGCCCAGACUCCUACGGGAGGCAGCAGUGAGGAAUAGUGCACGAUGGGCGGAAGCCGGAUGCAGCGACGCCGCGUGGGGGAUGACGGCCUUCGGGUUGUAAACUCCUUUCGACAGGGACGCGGUACCUGUAUAGGAAGCACCGGCUAACUACGUGCCAGCAGCCGCGGUAAUUC
rnacentral:rRNA from 1 species